rnacentral:rRNA from 1 species
UUGACCUCAAAUCAGGUAGGACUACCCGCUGAACUUAAGCAUAUCAAUAAGCGGAGGAAAAGAAACUAACAAGGAUUCCCCUAGUAACUGCGAGUGAAGCGGGAAAAGCUCAAAUUUGAAAUCUGGCGGUUCUUGAACUGUCCGAGUUGUAAUCUAGAGAAGUGUUACCUGUGCUGGACCGUGUACAAGUCUCCUGGAAUGGAGCAUCACAGAGGGUGAGAAUCCCGUCUUUGACAYGGACUGCCUGUACGAUAUGGUGCGCUCUCGAAGAGUCGAGUUGUUUGGGAAUGCAGCUCAAAAUGGGUGGUAAAUGCCAUCUAAAGCUAAAUAUUGGCGAGAGACCGAUAGCGAACAAGUACCGUGAGGGAAAGAUGAAAAGAACUUUGGAAAGAGAGUUAAACAGUACGUGAAAUUGCUGAAAGGGAAACGCUUGAAGUCAGUCGCGUCGGCUAGAAAUCAGCCUUUGCUUUUGCUUGGUGUACUUUCUGGUUGAUGGGUCAGCAUCAAUUUUGACCAUCGGAUAAAGUCAUUGGGAAUGUGGCAUCUUAGGAUGUGUUAUAGCCCAUUGUCGCAUACGGUGGUUGGGAUUGAGGAACUCAGCAUG